UGUGAGGUUAAUGUUCUGGAAAUAAUGUUGAUGGGUCUCUUUAGAAUAGAAUUGGGCCGGGUCGGAGAGAAAAGAGUGUGUUGGGUCGUCUAGGUUGUUUUGGUAUGAUAUAUGUAUUAUUGUAUGUUGUAAUGGGAAUGGGCUGGAUUUGGUAUGUUGUUAUGAUUAAUGAAUUUGAAUUGGGCUAAUUGAAGAAAGGAAAAGGGAGUUGGGGAAAUUGGAUCGGUCGGGUAUUGUUGUUGUAGUAAUGUGUUGAUGGGUUUUGUAUUGUUGUUGUAUUAAGGGGC
rnacentral:lncRNA from 1 species